UACAGAGGGUGCAAGCGUUGUUCGGAAUUAUUGGGCGUAAAGCGCGUGUAGGCGGCUUUGCAAGUCGGGUGUGAAAGCCCUCGGCUCAACCGAGGAAGUGCGCCCGAAACUGCAGAGCUUGAGUACCGGAGAGGAUGGCGGAAUUCCCCAAGUAGAGGUGAAAUUCGUAGAUAUGGGGAGGAACACCGGUGGCGAAGGCGGCCAUCUGAACGGAUACUGACGCUGAGGCACGAAAGCGUGGGGAGCAAACAGG
rnacentral:rRNA from 1 species